rfam:Glycine max cultivar Williams 82 chromosome 18, whole genome shotgun sequence.
UUAAGACAGUGCUUACCUCAACAACGUCUUUGAAAGUAGACAUUCUAAGACGUUGCUGAUAUAAGCACCGUCUUAAAAUGCGUACUUUCAAAGACGUUGCUGAUGUAAGCACCGUUUUU